AUUGAACGCUGGCGGCAUGCUCUACACAUGCAAGUCGAACGGUAACAGGCCUUCGGGCGCUGACGAGUGGCGAACGGGUGAGUAAUGCAUCGGAACGUGCCCAGUCGUGGGGGAUAACGCAGCGAAAGCUGUGCUAAUACCGCAUACGAUCUGCGGAUGAAAGCGGGGGACCUUCGGGCCUCGCGCGAUUGGAGCGACCGAUGUCAGAUUAGGUAGUUGGUGGGGUAAAGGCUCACCAAGCCAACGAUCUGUAGCUGGUCUGAGAGGACGACCAGCCACACGUGGACUGAGACACGGCCCAGACUCCUACGGGAGGCAGCAGUGGGGAAUUUUGGACAAUGGGCGCAAGCCUGAUCCAGCAAUGCCGCGUGCAGGAAGAAGGCCUUCGGGUUGUAAACUGCUUUUGUACGGAGCGAAAAGGCUCCCUCUAAUACAGGGGGCUCAUGACGGUACCGUAAGAAUAAGCACCGGCUAACUACGUGCCAGCCGCCGCGGUAAGAC
rnacentral:rRNA from 1 species